UUAGAGGAAGUAAAAGUCGUAACAAGGUUUCCGUAGGUGAACCUGCGGAAGGAUCAUUAUUGAAAUAAACGUGAUGAGUUGUUGCUGGUUCUCACUGGGAACAUGUGCACGCUUGUCAUCUUUUACAUCUCCACCUGUGCACUUUGUGUAGACCUGGAUAUCUCCCUGAAUGUCCAGCAUUCGGGUUUGAGGAUUGACUUUUCUAGCCUAUCCUCGCAUUUCCGGGCCUAUGUUUUUUUCAUACACCUCAUCCCCUGUUCAUAGAAUGUAAUAAUAAAUGGGCCUUUGUGCCUAUAAAACCUUCAUACAACUUUCAGCAACGGAUCUCUUGGCUCUCGCAUCGAUGAAGAACGCAGCGAAAUGCGAUAAGUAAUGUGAAUUGCAGAAUUCAGUGAAUCAUCGAAUCUUUGAACGCACCUUGCGCUCCUUGGUAUUCCGAGGAGCAUGCCUGUUUGAGUGUCAUUAAUAUUGAUAUCAGCCUCUUCAAAUUUUUGUGUUUGUCGGGUGUUGGAUGUGGGGGUUCUCUUUUUUUUGCUGGCCACUUUCCUGAGGUCAGCUCCCCUGAAAUGCAUUAGCAGAACAUUUUUGUUGAUCCGUUCAUUGGUGUGAUAACUAUCUACGCUAUUGACGUGAAACAACCAAGUUCAGCUUCUAACAGUCUAUUGAUUUGGACAAAUUUUCAUUAAGUAUGACCUCAAAUCAGGUAGGACUACCCGCUGAACUUAAGCAUAUCAAU
rnacentral:rRNA from 1 species